rnacentral:rRNA from 1 species
GCUCAGCCGUCAACAAAGACAGCCUAAAAUACAAUACUGUUCGCCAGAGAACUAUAAGCUAAAACUCAAAACUCCAAGGACUUGGCGGUGCUCCACACCAACCUAGAGGAGCCUGUCCUAUAAUCGAUACCCCCCGAUCUACCUCACCACUUUUUGAAAUUCAGCCUAUAUACCGCCGUCGCCAGCCUACCUUAUGAAAGAAAUAAAGUAGGCAAAAUAGUCACCAACUAAAACGUCAGGUCAAGGUGUAGCACAUAAAGUGGAAGAGAUGGGCUACACUCUCUCCCCCAGAGAACACGAACAGCAUCAAUGAAACACUGCUCAAAGGUGGAUUUAGUAGUAAGAUAAACAAGAGAGCUUAUCUUAAACCAGCCCUGGAGCGCGC